CCUACGGGGGGCAGCAGUCGAGAAUCAUUCACAAUGGGGGAAACCCUGAUGGUGCGACGCCGCGUGGGGGAAUGAAGGUCUUCGGAUUGUAAACCCUUGUCAUGUGGGAGCAAAUUAAAAAGAUAGUACCACAAGAGGAAGAGACGGCUAACUCUGUGCCAGCAGUCGCGGUAAUACAGAGGUCUCAAGCGUUGUUCGGAAUCACUGGGCGUAACGCGUGCGUAGGCGGUUUCGUAAGUCGUGUGUGAAAGGCGCGGGCUCAACCCGCGGACGGCACAUGAUACUGUGGGACUAGAGUAAAGGAGGGGGAACCGGAAUUCGCGGUGUAGCAGUGAAAUGCGUAGAUA
rnacentral:rRNA from 1 species